ensembl:lncRNA
UUUGUCUCUCCUGGUGUGGUGUCUGGAGGAGUAGGGGUUUGUCUCUCCUGGUGUGGUGUCUGGAGGAGUAGGGGGUUUGUCUCUCCUGGUGUGGUGUCUGAAGGAGUAGGGGUUUUGUCUUUCCUGAUGUGGUGUCUGGAGGAGUAGGGGGAUUGUCUCUCCUGGUGUAGAGAUGUAGAGCUUUCUCUCUCCUGGUGUGGUGUCUAGAGGAGUAGGGGGUUGUCUCUCCUGGUCUGGUGUCUGGAGGAGUAGGUGGUUUGUCUCUCCUGGUGUGGUGUCUGGAGGAAUAAGGGUUUGUCUCUCCUGGUGUGGUGUCUAGAGGAGUUGGGGUUUUGUCUCUCCUGGUGUGGUGUCUGGAGGUGUAGGGGUUUGUCUCUCCUGGUGUGGUGUCUGGAGGAGUAGGGGAUUUGUCUCUCCUGGUGUGUUGUAUGGAGGUGUAGGGGUUUGUCUAUCCUGGUGUGGUGUCUGGAGGAGUAGGGGUUUGUCUCUCCUGGUGUGGUGUCUGAAGGAGCAGGGGGUUUGUCUUUCCUGUUGUGGUGUCUGGAAGAGUAGGGGUUUGUCUCUCCUGGUGUUGUGUCUGGAGGAGUCGGGGUUUGUCUCUCCUGGUGCGGUGUCUAGAGGAGUUGGGGUUUGUCUCUCCUGGUGUCUGGAGGAGUAGGGGUUUGUCUCUCCUGGUGUGCUGUCUAGAGGAGUAGGGGUUUGUCUCUCCUGGUCUGGUGUCUGGAGGAGUAGGUGGUUUGUCUCUUAUGGUGUGGUGUCUGGAGGAAUAAGGGUUUGUCUCUCCUGGUGUGGUGUCUGGAGGAGUUGGGGUUUUGUCUCUCCUGGUGUGGUGUCUGGAGGUGUAGGGUUUUGUCUCUCCCGGUGUGGUGUCUGGAGGAGUAGGUGGUUUGUCUCUCAUUGUUACGUUCCCCAGAUUAUGUGUUGUAGAUUGUGUAUUUGCAUGUGUUUAUUUCAGGAAAUGGCUUCCUGAAAUUCCUCAAGCAGCUGAUUGGUCGACUCCAGGGCUAAUUGGAGAGCUGACCCCGCCCCCUCGUCAAGACACAGCUGUCUCCAAUUACCCAUUCCUUCAGAAGCUAUAUAAAAGCCAGUGUUCUGUUCAGGAGUUUUUCUUUUUGCUAGAGAGAUUUGCUGGGAGGUCAUUGUAGAGAUUGUGAUAGAGGUUGAUUUUGCUGGGAGUACAUUGCUGAGUUUGUUGCUCAGAAAGAGCUUAUUUGACAUCCUUUUGUUUCUUAGUUUGUUUAAAAUUGUUUAAUAUUCUGUUUCAUUUGUUCCCAGGGGGAAAGGGAAGGCACCUAGGGAGUGCUUAGGCAAGAGGCCCGCGGGCAUACAUAUACCCGUAGCAUAUUCGCUGUCUAGACACACUAGGUAAGACCUGGGCGGACCACCCCUUGUAUUUUGGUUAGGGCACCAGGUGGUGCUAAAUUAGGUAAGUAGUGGGUAGGCAGGUAAGAUAGGAGAGGGGGGCUUUGAGAUUUACUUUCUUUGCUUUGGUUCCGUCCAGCCCCUUUUCCCCAUAUUACCGUGUAAAGGAAUAAAGUCCUUGUAAACGGUACCACAUUCUGCCUGUUGUCAUCCUUACUCGCACCUACAGUCCAUACCUUUUUUUUCGCUUCACGGAGUGUUUAGUUGUAGCAGGGUGUUGCGUUCCCUCUUCAUAGAGGCGUGCGUAACAUAAUGGGGGCUCGUCCGGGAUUUGAACACGGGACCUCUCGCCCCUCUCUGGAGGAAUCAGGGUUUGUCUCUCCUGGUGUAGGGUCUGGAGGAAUUGGGGUUUUGUCUCUCCUGGUG